CGUACUUUAAAAGUGUAAAAGGAUUAUCAAUUCUGUAAAUUCAAUUCGAAAUUAAGUGAUAAAUACAGAAUGUCGGUAAAACACACGGCUUUAGCAUCCUCUUAAGGCUACAUAUCGUCGGAUGUCAGGACAAUAAAAUCGAUCGGUCAAUAAAAUCGACAUUUUCUUAAUUUCUAAUUUUUCUUUUCGCUUUAUUCUAGAAUAUGCAAUACAUAUGAGGAUUAUGUCCCACUUAGGUUUUUUGUGUCAAAUUGCCCAGAGACUAGUUAGGAUGGUCGCUAUGAAAAGAAAUAUUUUCUGAGGCGAUUCGCAAAUAAAAGAUUACAGACGCAGUAUUUUAAAUUAAUUUUUAAAAAAUCAUGAAGCAUACUAAAUAAACAAAGCUAGACAAAGUAAAAAUUAAUCGGGUCAACAGUUAUCUUAUAAAAUAUUGAAGUGAGUAAUCUCAUUUCAAUAUUUUACAUUGAAAAUAAAGAAAAAAAUUUUGAAAAUAAAGAUAUUCUCAAAACAAGAAUAUUCUUUUUUCUGUGUAGAAAAAGAAUAAAAUACAUAUUUUUCGCUAACCUGUCCAUGAAAAAAGUGUUGAAGAAUUCUGCGUAUUAACGUUAUGUUCUUGAUUGGAGGAUAUCUUAGAUCGUUCAGAAUUGUUUGAUUGUUUAGAAGUGUCUAAUGUUUCAAAAGUGUUACAAGUGUUCAAAUGGUUUAAAGUGUUUGAUGGUUCAAAAAUGUUCGAUGGUUUAAAAGUGUUCCACGAUUCAAAAGUGUUUGAUAAUUCAUAAUUCAUUGCGGUACGCUACUAAUAUUUCUUGAAUCGGUGAUUACAUUAUGUGUAUAUGAAUUAUGAUAUGAUGUUAAUAAUGCUGAUUCUAAAUUUAUUAUAUGUAUGCCAUUAUAUGAAUUUGAUGAUAUUUCUUAAUUUGAAACUGGUACUUAAUAAUAACUAAUACUUAAUAAUAAUAACUUAAUAAUAGUUGAGUAUUGACUAAGAUGGUACGGUUUCAUUUUCUUUUGCGAGGUGGUUGUAUUAAAAUUGUACGAAGUAUCACAUAAUGCGUGUGAUUUAAGUGCUUUUGAUGAUGAUGACUCCAUAUUGUUAAUUAUAUCCAAAGUACAUUCUUGACAAUUUACACGUGAACAUAAUGGUACAUAGUUUAUUGAAGAUUGUGCAACAUUAUUCUCUUUGGCGUUACCUUAUAUUCAUUAUUUAUCUUUCUAAGAAAGAUUAAUAAUUAUGCAUUAAAGAAAAUAAGAGCUUUCUCAUAACAGCUUUGAAAGCGAAAUAAAAUGGUGAGAAAGCAAUAUGCAAAAUCCUAAUUUGUUUUUAAUAUUAAAACGUAAUACCUGUUAACUGUGUGAAGAGAUCUCAGGAAUUUUUUUAUUAAUGUUAUAAGCAAUGUUGUAACAUUUUUGUGUAAUUUAAAUUGUUUUUUUGAAAUUACGGAUUGUGCACAGAGAGAAAAGUUUCUUUGGAUUUAAUAAAUUUUCUUUAAGUCAAACAAAUUUGAUUAUUGGUAUACGCCAAUGAAACUGAUAUUUGAACUAACAAAUACAAUUGUUUGGACUUUUAAACAAAGUAAUUGUUUCUUUUAAAUAAAAUAUUUUUUGAAAGAAUUUAGUUUUUUCUUUGAUUCAAAUUCUAGUGUUAUUCAACGAUAAAACACUAUUUGAGCACAUAUUUUUCUUGCAAGGAGACAGAAGCUCGUGACCGAAUAGGUGAUUACUACUACAUGCAGAAAAAAUUCGUUAUCGAAGUAGGCGUAAAGAGCUCAUCACGAUGUCAUAAGUUGAUGCGUUUUUUGUCACCGUGGGUGGUUUGCUUAUAUAGCCUUUGGAGUGUAAAUUGCAUUACGAGAAAGGUGUCACGUGCAUCGUCUAGUGGCGGUUCACGAACUACAUCGCGGCUGCUGCGACCAUAUAAGAUUGAAUCUUAUUUGAAUCAAAUAAUGUUUUUAUUUAAAUUAAAUAUUUAAAUUAAAUUGUUUCAAAUAAUAGUGAUUAUUCCGCCAAACAAUAUGAUUUAAUGUAACGAAACAAUCAAAUUUUUAUUUAAUAAAACUAUAUUUUGUAAAAAAUAAAUUUUUUCCAGUGAAACAAAUAUAAUUCAAACAACUACAUAUAUUAAAUUCAAAGAAACAGUUCUCUCUGUGUGUUUUCUUUAUUUUUUCUUCCAAUAGUUUCUCGUUUAAUCUUUUAAUAUUUUUUAUUUUAUUAAUUUUUGGUUUCCUAUCAUAUAUAUCUCUUCUUUCUUGUAAUAUAUGUGAAGAAAAAUUUUUUUCUGCUGCAUCGUGUAAUUUACCAGUAUCUGUUACUAAUGUCCUAUAAAGUUUGUUUUCGUCAUUUAUAAAUAAUAUAGUAAUAUAACAGUAACAAAUCUUUUUAUUCGACUUUCCGGGCAAUAUAUUUUUGGUGAUCAGAUAAUGUAUCUUUUCAUGAAUUUGUAUACUGUACAUUUGGACAAUUCUAAAAUAAAAUACUUAGCAAUUUAUUGUUAAUAAAAUAGUUAUGUAGUCUUCAAGUAAAAGGAUAAAAAAAGUUUUGAUAAUUUUUAAAAAUUUUUUUCAAGUCCAACAGAAGAAAACAUGAGGAAGAAAAAAAAAGAUCUUAGUUGUCACUCUGAAGGUUGCCACUCGGAGCGUUAAUAUGAAAUAAAAGAUAUAUAUAAAAUUUUAGCUACUGCCUUAGUUUUUUCCUUUGUUUUAAAAUCUUGCCACGUUAAGCUUACGAUACAGUUAAUUUUUCGCUUGCAUUUGGGUAUUGAACACAGUGGAAUUAUAUCUUUUUGAGCACUUUUCAUCCACCAUAUGAGGGCAAAUUUUUUAUUUUCUUGCGGCAUUAUUACAUAUAUGAUGCAAAAACACCUUACAGAAUACUAAUAAUUAACACUGCGUACAUAUUUUAUUGACAUUACUUUUUGCUAUGUAAGUCAAUAACGGUUGCUAUGCAGUAUACCAAUUGCAUUGGCGGGCAUGUUCAGUACAUUUCGUCGGUAUGACAGGUAUCAUUAUAAUCUGCCAAGUCGUUAACUUUAACGAUUAAUAUCUCACUUCGCGGAGGAGAGCGGCGUUUAUUUCUUCCAGAUUUUUUGUUUUAAAAAACGUUGUAAAAAUGCGUCGAUUGAGCAUAAUUUCAUCGAAAUCAGAGGAGAGCGGGUCAAAACGAAAACAAAGUUUAGAACACUAAUAAACAUAUCCAUUAACUCCAAAGAGAGAGAGAGAGAGAGAGAGAGAGAGAGAGAGAGAGAGAGAGAGAGAGAGAGAUGUUGUAUUACCUUCAAUAAACUAUGUACCAUCAUUAUAUGUGUAAAUUGUCAGGAAUGUACUUUAAAUAUCGACGUAAUGAUAUCGAAUCAUCGAUAGAGGCGUAUAUAAGAAAUAUUAUUGAUAGUGGUAAUACAAAGAUUUGCUUCCUGUGACUGUAAACAAAGAAAAUGUAAAAAAAAAUCUUUUCAAGACUUAAAAAAAAAUAAAAAUAUAAACGUUUAAAUGAAGUGUUAGCAAGAGCAAAUGAAAAUUAUGAAAUUGAUAAUGAUCUUGCAUUGAAUCAGCAAUUACCUCCAAAUGAAGUGUAAGUAUUGUAAGUUUUUUUUAUUAAUAUUUUACAUUAUAAUAGUAUUUAACAAUUAAUAUAAAAAAUGAAAUGCAUGAAUACAAACCAUAUAAUUAAUGUCAAUACUAUUGAUGAUAAAAUACAUUUUGAAAGUAAAUAUGUAUUUAAUAUUAUUAUGUGUCACUACAUUUUGUCUUAAUUAUUAUAAAAAUAGCUUACUGUAUUAUUUUAAUUAAUUAUAAUUUAAUAAUUAAUGAGCAACUUCAAUAUUUUCGCAAUAGAAUUUUUUAAUCUAUUUAUUCUCUGUUAUGUUAAAACACCAUUAUAUAGUUGUUACAAUUAAGAUAACCUGCGUAUAAAUAUAGAAGCAUUAAUUGUAUGACAUAAUCAUCAAUUAAGUAUAGUAAUGUAUAGGAGUGGAGAGGAAGAUAAUACAGAAAAAGAAACAGAGAGAGAAAAAGAAUCACAACAGAAUGAAAACAAAAA